rnacentral:rRNA from 1 species
AAAUUGAAGAGUUUGAUCAUGGCUCAGAUUGAACGCUGGCGGCAGGCCUAACACAUGCAAGUCGAACGGUAACAGGAAGCAGCUUGCUGCUUUGCUGACGAGUGGCGGACGGGUGAGUAAUGUCUGGGAAACUGCCUGAUGGAGGGGGAUAACUACUGGAAACGGUGGCUAAUACCGCAUAACGUCGCAAGACCAAAGAGGGGGACCUUCGGGCCUCUUGCCAUCAGAUGUGCCCAGAUGGGAUUAGCUAGUUGGUGAGGUAACGGCUCACCAAGGCGACGAUCCCUAGCUGGUCUGAGAGGAUGACCAGCCACACUGGAACUGAGACACGGUCCAGACUCCUACGGGAGGCAGCAGUGGGGAAUAUUGCACAAUGGGCGCAAGCCUGAUGCAGCCAUGCCGCGUGUAUGAAGAAGGCCUUCGGGUUGUAAAGUACUUUCAGCGGGGAGGAAGGUGUUGUGGUUAAUAACCGCAGCAAUUGACGUUACCCGCAGAAGAAGCACCGGCUAACUCCGUGCCAGCAGCCGCGGUAAUACGGAGGGUGCAAGCGUUAAUCGGAAUUACUGGGCGUAAAGCGCACGCAGGCGGUCUGUCAAGUCGGAUGUGAAAUCCCCGGGCUCAACCUGGGAACUGCAUUCGAAACUGGCAGGCUUGAGUCUUGUAGAGGGGGGUAGAAUUCCAGGUGUAGCGGUGAAAUGCGUAGAGAUCUGGAGGAAUACCGGUGGCGAAGGCGGCCCCCUGGACAAAGACUGACGCUCAGGUGCGAAAGCGUGGGGAGCAAACAGGAUUAGAUACCCUGGUAGUCCACGCCGUAAACGAUGUCUACUUGGAGGUUGUGCCCUUGAGGCGUGGCUUCCGGAGCUAACGCGUUAAGUAGACCGCCUGGGGAGUACGGCCGCAAGGUUAAAACUCAAAUGAAUUGACGGGGGCCCGCACAAGCGGUGGAGCAUGUGGUUUAAUUCGAUGCAACGCGAAGAACCUUACCUGGUCUUGACAUCCACAGAACUUUCCAGAGAUGGAAUGGUGCCUUCGGGAACUGUGAGACAGGUGCUGCAUGGCUGUCGUCAGCUCGUGUUGUGAAAUGUUGGGUUAAGUCCCGCAACGAGCGCAACCCUUAUCCUUUGUUGCCAGCGGUUAGGCCGGGAACUCAAAGGAGACUGCCAGUGAUAAACUGGAGGAAGGUGGGGAUGACGUCAAGUCAUCAUGGCCCUUACGACCAGGGCUACACACGUGCUACAAUGGCGCAUACAAAGAGAAGCGACCUCGCGAGAGCAAGCGGACCUCAUAAAGUGCGUCGUAGUCCGGAUUGGAGUCUGCAACUCGACUCCAUGAAGUCGGAAUCGCUAGUAAUCGUGGAUCAGAAUGCCACGGUGAAUACGUUCCCGGGCCUUGUACACACCGCCCGUCACACCAUGGGAGUGGGUUGCAAAAGAAGUAGGUAGCUUAACCUUCGGGAGGGCGCUUACCACUUUGUGAUUCAUGACUGGGGUGAAGUCGUAACAAGGUAACCGUAGGGGAACCUGCGGUUGGAUCACCUCCUUA